rnacentral:rRNA from 1 species
GACGAACGCUGGCGGCGUGCCUAAUACAUGCAAGUCGAGCGCAGGAAGCUGACGGAACUCUUCGGAGAGAAGGCGGUGGAAUGAGCGGCGGACGGGUGAGUAACACGUAAGGAACCUGCCUCAAGGAUUGGGAUAACUCCGAGGAAUCGGAGCUAAUACCGGAUAGUUCAACGGACCGCAUGGUCCGCUGAUGAAAGGCGCUUCGGCGUCACCUUGAGAUGGCCUUGCGGUGCAUUAGCUAGUUGGUGGGGUAACGGCCCACCAAGGCGACGAUGCAUAGCCGACCUGAGAGGGUGAUCGGCCACACUGGGACUGAGACACGGCCCAGACUCCUACGGGAGGCAGCAGUAGGGAAUCUUCCACAAUGGACGAAAGUCUGAUGGAGCAACGCCGCGUGAGUGAUGAAGGUUUUCGGAUCGUAAAACUCUGUUGUAAGGGAAGAACACGUACGAGAGGGAAUGCUCGUACCUUGACGGUACCUUACGAGAAAGCCACGGCUAACUACGUGCCAGCAGCCGCCGUAA